ACAGCCCCCCCAAGACAUGUCCCUUCUUCCCCGAUCCUCAGCUCUCUCUCUCUCUCUCUCUCUAAACUUGUCGAUCGAUCCCCUAGCUCUCUCUCUCUGUCUCCGAUCCUUCGAUCCACCGUGCAUGUAGUAGCUACGAUCGACGCCGGUGUUCUUCCCCUGCUGUCGUCCUUCUCUCUCUCUAAGCUAGCUUCUCGAUCCGUACUUCUUGUCCGAGCUCGGAGAGCUUUGUAGCUUCUCCACGGAGUGCACUAUGCAGCCGCUCCCGAUCUAGCCACAAUGCGCGAGCUGUGUGCUGUCAUUUCCCUAUUGCUGCCUUCUAGACGCGCGUCCCUAGCUCAGCUGCCCAGCGAGCUGCUGUCUAGCAGCUUUGCCCCUAGCUGCCCCUGCGGCCCCGCUGCACAGACGCCAUCUGGACCACCGCCUGCCCUACUGCCGCGAGCUGCUACCCCUGCCCCAGUUGCACAUGUCGCCGCCGUGACCGUCUCCCGAUCCCUUAGCUACUGCCCCUUGCCCCCUUCCACAAACCGUGACUCUCCUAAGCUCUAGCUACUGCCCUCUGCCCCCGCAUGCAUGACAGAGACACUGGCCUCUAGAAGGCAGAGUUGACCCCGUACAGCUCCGGCACCGCAAGGCACCGGCGAUUGUCCACUUAGGACUAGAUCUGAUUUGGCCGUUCUCCCCGAGCUACUUCCUAGAGUAGACCUCCCCGAUCUCGAUUGCUCUAGUGAUAUAUAUAACCGGAUAUAAAUCACAGGGUUCGUGGAUUGCAUUUUGGAGCGUUCUCCAAUAUUAAGCUUACCAGCGUUCUUCGAUAUUGAGCUCGCGAGGUGGUAGAGGUAUGCUCAAAUUUCGAUAUAUAUUUAAAAUGCAAAGCGAACUGAUUGUUGAUGACCCUAGGUUAGUCACCUUUAUGAAUUAAAUAAUUGUGGAGAAGGAGGAUGGGCUUUGGGGAAGGGUUAUAGCCUUCCCAUUGUGGAUUUGGUUAUGCCUUGUUGAUUGCUACGGACUAAUAAAGACACUAUCAUUCUUGAA